UAAAGGCACAAAGGAGGAUGUUUUGUUUUAUACAUUUUUGCAAUAUUACUUGAAACUGUCUUUACUAACUGAUAACAGACUAUUUAUUAGGUGCACUGAAAGUAAUAAUAUUAAUAUAUGUCAUCUGUGAACAAAAUAGGGCCUUAAAAACAUCAGCCGAUUGGCCCUCUGGCUUGUCAAUCACUGCCUUUAUGAUCCUUGUGAGAGACAUGCACGCUCCAGUAACUUUACACAGGCGACGCAUGCGCAUAGUGCAUGAAACUCCGUCUUUAGUUUCGGUUUGUUUUCAUUGUCGAUCAUGGUUUCCUCCUCGAAUUUGCACCAUGGUAGAGAAAAAACGCGAAGGAGGAUGCAAAAGAAAUACUUUUUUUAAGUCGCUGAGAAGAGGUUAAAAUUGUCAGAAGAACGUAACCAAAGUCGUUAUUGGAGAAACAUUUUAACGCUGGAGAGCAAUGAAGGAACAGAGAAGUGUCAAGACAGACGCGCAGUUUGCAAAAAUUCUUCUUGACAGAAAUAAAGAAGACAGUUGUGGUUGAAUGGAUGGAGACAAUCAAAAUAAUGCUCGUGGUUGCAGUGCACACUUCAUAUCAGAGCUGCUGAGCCAGAGCGUCCUUGAAGAUGAUCUGUCCUCGAUGUGUUGCUGUGGCCCUGAGGCACAACAGGACAGAAGAAAUGGAAGAGAGAGGGAGAGAGAGAGAAAGAUGGAU